GAUGAACGCUGGCGGCGUGCCUAAUACAUGCAAGUCGAGCGAACAGACGAGGAGCUUGCUCCUCUGACGUUAGCGGCGGACGGGUGAGUAACACGUGGAUAACCUACCUAUAAGACUGGGAUAACUUCGGGAAACCGGAGCUAAUACCGGAUAAUAUAUUGAACCGCAUGGUUCAAUAGUGAAAGACGGUUUUGCUGUCACUUAUAGAUGGAUCCGCGCCGCAUUAGCUAGUUGGUAAGGUAACGGCUUACCAAGGCAACGAUGCGUAGCCGACCUGAGAGGGUGAUCGGCCACACUGGAACUGAGACACGGUCCAGACUCCUACGGGAGGCAGCAGUAGGGAAUCUUCCGCAAUGGGCGAAAGCCUGACGGAGCAACGCCGCGUGAGUGAUGAAGGUCUUCGGAUCGUAAAACUCUGUUAUUAUGGAAGAACAAAUGUGUAAGUAACUAUGCACGUCUUGACGGUACCUAAUCAGAAAGCCACGGCUAACUACGUG
rnacentral:rRNA from 1 species